ACGUAAAAGUAUCUUGAGUGUGUGACUCAUCAAACUGAUUAGUCUAAAAUCGCUACAUUUGGUGGGCCUGCUUUUCUUUGGUAAUGUUAUAAACAGUGACUCCAACCAAGCAUCUGGUAUUUUUCCUUCGUUGUAAAUUUUGUUGAAGAAAAUAGUCAAGUAGGUAAUGUUUUCCUCAUCUAAAAGUUUAAGUAGCUCAACAGGGAUUUGAUCUGGUCCAGGUACUUUAUUGUUUUUCGCUUGUUGUAUUGUUUUUAUGGCUUCCGACUUCAGUAUACUGGAACUUCUGUCUAAUUGGUUAUCACAGGUAGUAUUUGGAGCAUUUUCUCGAGAAGCAUUGUCAAAAAGAUCACUGAUGUGAUCAUUUUCUUAAAAGAUCACUGAUGUGAUCAUUUUCUUUACAAGAAUCAUUUUCUUUACAGAAUUCAUAUAAUCUCUGUCCUCGAUCAUUAGGUUGACCAAGACCAUAAGUACCUACAGUUUGACCUCGUCGAAAAUCCUCAAUUUUUGAAUUAAAGUCGCCUAUAAUAUAUAAAAUUAUGUCGACUCCUACAUCAUAUAUAAAAUUGUUAGGACUUCAACAUCGAACUCUAUUAUAAUUUCCAUCCAUCCAUCCAGUGUGCUUGUCUAUCAUAAUGUUUUGUCGUUUGUAUGUUUUUUUCAGUCCUAUUUCUUUUGCAACUCUCUUUAGUUGUAUAUGCAUUUCCGUCGUCUCCUUCCUUUCAGCGGAACAUGAUGUUAACGUAAUCGGCAGUCAACAAGCUGUAAUGGUUUGUUAAAAUAACUAUUCCGACAUUCAACCUUCUUAAACAUUCGAGAGCCAUGUUGAACAAUGUCGGGCCCAGCUCAUCGUUGUGUUUUAGUACAGUAAGUUUGUUAUACAGUACAUAGAUCUUUUAGCUGGACAUUGGUAACAUCAAAUACUAUUGACUGUAAUACAUGCAACUCCCACAGAAAUCUGGAAGCACGUUGUCACUAGCGUGCUAGCGCCACUGUCGGCUUGAAGUGAAACUACGUUUUGAAAAUGUAAAAUUUGAAGUAAACAUUCAAAUUUAAUGUUAUAAAUUUUUGAAUAACGAGCUAAUUUUGCUAGAUUAAAUUAAAAUAAAAAUAGUUCAAACACCUAUACAAAAACAAUAAUAAAGCAAUUUUAUAAAUGUAAGGUUAUAUUGCUCUGGUUAUCACCGCACACCACUAGAUGGCGCUAUAUUGUUUGCUUCCUCAAAUGUAAUGGGAAAUGUCAAGAGUUGUAUGUAUUGCAGUCAAUAGUAUUUGAUAACAUAUACUAAGGCAAGUGUGACAACUGCGCUCUCUCGAUGACACUAGUUUAUAAACGUCAAAACAUGACAAUGUAUUAGCUGAAUAUUUUGGCCUGAGGGAAUGGGAAAACUGUCUGUUUAAUGUUGAGAAAGCACAGUUUGCCACACUUGUCUUGUGUGUACCGGUGUAGGAUGUUAAAGUCGUAUUGUGAACGUUAAUAUAGUGUUUCUACGACUUAUUUAUAAUAUAUUUUACUGAUCGACUUUCGACCUUCCUUGUCGGAAAGCUGGUUUGGCAUUCAGGGAUAAUAUUGUUCACUAGUGCCACUGAUACUGGUAUCUGUUGCUGUUUGCCACAUGAUUUUGAACAAUUCAAGAAUCUGGAGUCUUAUCCCUUCAUAUCUUCCGUCUACUUGUCACAAUUCCAGAAGCUUAUCAUUUUCUGGGUGUCUAGGUUUUCGAAACUGAUUUUAUUUCUGGUGUUUUGGUAGUUGUUGGAAUGUGUUUUUACACAAACAUUUUUUGAGGUGUGUAUAGAACAAUAUUUUUCAUUCGCUAGUUAAAUUGAAACUAUUAUAUUAAUUAAGGCCAAAUUUAACCAAAUUUAGAAAAGUAGCACCUUCCCGCGUUAUUGUUUGAUAAUCUAUUGGAAAGUUUGUAGCAAAAAUAUAUUUGUUUGUAAACUAGCAACUAAUCAUCUUUUUUAUAUUAUCUUUUUUGUAACCCACUUUUUGUAUAAUUUGUUAGGUUUCAAUAUGUGUAUUGAAGAUAAAUUUACAGAUUUAAUAAAUCAGGUUAUGUAAUUGCAUGUGUGCUUUACUUUUUAAAAGAUUAAUAAAUUAUGUUUUGUAUAACAAAUUAAGUGAAAUAUACGUACAUUUUUAUAA
rnacentral:lncRNA from 1 species